rnacentral:rRNA from 1 species
AUUGAACGCUGGCGGCAGGCUUAACACAUGCAAGUCGAGCGGAGAUGAGGUGCUUGCACCUUAUCUUAGCGGCGGACGGGUGAGUAAUGCUUAGGAAUCUGCCUAUUAGUGGGGGACAACAUUCCGAAAGGAAUGCUAAUACCGCAUACGCCCUACGGGGGAAAGCAGGGGAUCUUCGGACCUUGCGCUAAUAGAUGAGCCUAAGUCGGAUUAGCUAGUUGGUGGGGUAAAGGCCUACCAAGGCGACGAUCUGUAGCGGGUCUGAGAGGAUGAUCCGCCACACUGGGAGUGAGACACGGCCCAGACUCCUACGGGGGGCAGCAGUGGGGAUUAUUGGAAAAUGGGCGGAAGCCUGAUCCAGCCAUGCCGCGUGUGUGAAGAAGGCCUUUUGGUUGUAAAGCACUUUAAGCGAGGAGGAGGCUACCUGGAUUAAUACUCUAGGAUAGUGGACGUUACUCGCAGAAUAAGCACCGGCUAACUCUGUGCCAGCCGCCGCAGUAACAC